CAGUCGCCGCGGUAAUGCGUAGGGGGCAAGCGUUAUCCGGAAUUACUGGGUGUAAAGGGAGCGUAGACGGUUAAACAAGUCUGAAGUGAAAUGCCGGGGCUCAACCCCGGAGCUGCUUUGGGAACUGUAGAACUGGAGUGUCGGAGGGGUAAGCGGAACUCCCAGUGUAGCGGUGAAAUGCGUAGAUAUUGGGAGGAACACCGGCGGCGAAGGCGGCUUACUGGACGACAACUGACGUUGAGGCUCGAAGGCGUGGGUAGCAAACAGGAUUAGAGACCCCAGUAGUCCCUGUCUCUUAUAU
rnacentral:rRNA from 1 species